UGUAAAUCUCAUACAAAGGUAGAAAGUGCAAUUCAACCCAACACGCUGGUUAUGGUAUAUGUGCUGUCAAUGUACAUGGUAGCAACUUGAAUCAAACCAGAGCUGCUACCACAUGUAAGCAACCUCUUAUGCUGCCCUGUAGUGAUGUCAAUGUUCUCAGUUUACUAAAUUAUCAAUGUGGAAGAACGCAUUUUUGAGCUCCAGACCUUCUAAACAUUUUAAACAGGCUAUCGAAGAGGAUGUAACAGAACCCUAUUUCAGAAACCUAAGGAUCAGGGAGGAAGGAACACUGACCGGUUUUUCUGGGAUGUUUCUGUGGGGGCAACAGGGAUGAACAAAAGAAAUGUUAGCAUGUCAGAGCAUAUGACAAGUGAGGGGAGACAGAGUAGAUUCUAACCAAAGGAAGGCGGUGAGGGUUAAAUGAAGGUAAUUCAGUUAGUUUUUAGGUUGGCUGGGGCAAGCUGC
rnacentral:lncRNA from 1 species